CCGACGGUGAGAGGUGAAGCCUAGGGGCACGAACCGGAUUAGAUACCCGGGUAGUCCCAGCUGUAAACUAUGCAAACUCAGUGAUGCAUUGGCUUGUGGCCAAUGCAGUGCUGCAGGGAAGCCGUUAAGUUUGCCGCCUGGGAAGUACGUACGCAAGUAUGAAACUUAAAGGAAUUGGCGGGGGAGCACCACAAGGGGUGAAGCCUGCGGUUCAAUUGGAGUCAACGCCAGAAAUCUUACCCGGAGAGACAGCAGAAUGAAGGUCAAGCUGAAGACUUUACCAGACAAGCUGAGAGGUGGUGCAUGGCCGUCGCCAGCUCGUGCCGUGAGAUGUCCUGUUAAGUCAGGUAACGAGCGAGAUCCCUGCCUCUAGUUGCCACCAUUACUCUCAGGAGUAGUGGGGCGAAUUAGCGGGACCGCCGCAGUUAAUGCGGAGGAAGGAAGGGGCCACGGCAGGUCAGUAUGCCCCGAAACUCUGGGGCCACACGCGGGCUGCAAUGGUAACGACAAUUGGUUUCGAAUCCGAAAGGAUGAGGUAAUCCUCAAACGUUACCACAGUUAUGACUGAGGGCUGCAACUCGCCCUCACGAAUAUGGAAUCCCUAGUAACUGCGUGUCAUUAUCGCGCGGUGAAUACGUCCCUGCUCCUUGCACACACCGCCCGU
rnacentral:rRNA from 1 species